UACGUAGGGACCAAGCGUUGUUCGGAUUUACUGGGCGUAAAGGGCGCGUAGGCGGCGAAUCAAGUCAGCUGUGAAAUCUCCGAGCUUAACUCGGAACGGUCAGCUGAUACUGUUUUGCUAGAGUGCAGAAAGGGCAACCGGAAUUCUUGGUGUAGCGGUGAAAUGCGUAGAUAUCAAGAGGAACACCUGAGGCGAAGGCGGCAUCCUGGACCGGCAUUGACGCUAAAGCGCGAAAGCCAGGGGAGCAAACGGG
rnacentral:rRNA from 1 species